AGUGAACGCUGGCGGUAGGCCUAACACAUGCAAGUCGAACGGCAGCACAGGAGAGCUUGCUCUCUGGGUGGCGAGUGGCGGACGGGUGAGGAAUACAUCGGAAUCUACCUUUUCGUGGGGGAUAACGUAGGGAAACUUACGCUAAUACCGCAUACGACCUACGGGUGAAAGUGGGGGACCGCAAGGCCUCACGCGAUUAGAUGAGCCGAUGUCCGAUUAGCUAGUUGGCGGGGUAAUGGCCCACCAAGGCGACGAUCGGUAGCUGGUCUGAGAGGAUGAUCAGCCACACUGGAACUGAGACACGGUCAAGACUCCGACGGGAGGCAGCAGUGGGGAAUAUUGGACAAUGGGCGCAAGCCUGAUCCAGCCAUACCGCGUGGGUGAAGAAGGCCUUCGGGUUGUAAAGCCCUUUUGUUGGGAAAGAAAUCCUGUCGAUUAAUACUCGGUGGGGAUGACGGUACCCAAAGAAUAAGCACCGGCUAACUUCGUGCCAGCAGCCGCAGUAACAC
rnacentral:rRNA from 1 species